GGGAUUUUGGUCGCCGCGGGACGACGGAGGUCCGGGCUGGUGGCGCGGGUCCCGCCCGGCCGUGCGAGGGUGGGGUGGCGCAGUCGGCUGCCUCCGGGACGCGGGGCACGGAGUACCCGCCGCUGCUGCUGCUGCUCCUGCAGCCGCCGCUCCCACCGCCGCCGCCGCCGCCCGCGCCUCUCGCGCCGGUUACAUUAACACGCGGUUUCACACUCCGGAGCUAACCAGCGCCGGCCCCGCCCAGCCCCGCUCGGGCGGGGGGCGCGAGCGCCGAGCCUGCGGGGGACGUGGGCCCGGGAGGUUGCCGGGGGGGGGGGGGCAGGAGGCCCUCAUCAGCCAAUCGCGUGCGCUGCACCCAACGUGGGGCGCUGACGCGCGCCUCCCCGGAGCCUAUGGCAGCGCAGCGCCGGACGGGCCGUUCUCCCUCCCCCGUCCUCUCGCUUCCUUCUCCGCGGUCUCCUCGGUCUCCCCUCCCACCCCGGCCCCUCCUCCGUCAGCCGCGUCCUCCCGGGCUUGGUGAGGAACUGUUCCUGGAGGAGCCGCGGGACGGCAAAACCAUCCAAUGGGAAGAGGCGAUUCGCGGAGAUUGGCACUGAAGAUGGGAAGGAUUUCAAGCCUCUUUGCAAAAAGAUCGUCCUGCCCCGUUUGGCGGGAAGGAUUCCCAGGGUGCUGCCAGAACAAGGCACGCGUGUCCGCAGACGAGACGCUUUGCCAGGGGCGUGAAAUGCCAGGUCUUCGUCUUAAAAGUCCAGACUUCGCUGUUAGGAGAGGAGGGGAACGGCUGAGGUUUUUAGAAGCCUCUCAGCUACAAGACCACGAGUCUGUUUCCAAUUCCUGGGAACAAAGAGAGACAAUGUAAUAAACCAGCACUGAGACUUGAAAAACCUGUCCCGCGCACCCCACCCCCAUAGUCUGGGUGGUGCUCCUGAACUGAGCUGUGUGAAGAGCUAAAUGGGAAGAGUUAGGUAAAUGACGUGGCUAAGGUUCUUAUGAAGUGGAACUUGAGUUAAAAGGGAUUUUGAGAUUGUAAUAAUCAAGACAUGCUGUAUAAUUAAUGCUGAGAGUCUUCGGUUUUUGUGUAUGUCUCUAAAUACACCCACAGCAGAAAACCGUCAGUAUUGCUGCAUUUAUACUUUUGUUUGAAGAACAGUCCAAUGGAGCUACUUCCACAUGAGCAGUGAGUGAAUAAUGCUGGUUUAGCCAAACGGUGGUAACUUUUUCUAUAAGGGCACAUCUUGGACAAGUAUUUAUCUUAUGUUGGAAACUAGUUAAGUUUUUGGUAUUAAUAACCCCCACGUUCCCAUUAUUUUACUUUCAAGAGCCUUAUGGGAAGCAGCUUAUUUAAAGAGACAUACAUUUUAUUUAAAGAUGUGC
rnacentral:lncRNA from 1 species